UAUCAUGUAUUAUCACAGUUUAAGAAAAGUAUUCGAUCACGUAUUAAAACACAAUUAAGGCACAUGUGUAGCAAGUAGUCGUGAUCAUGCAUCAUGAAUAAUGAAUUAUAACUAUAUGCAUUGAUGCAAUAUGCUUAUUAUUGGCCAUGAAUGGAUGGUUGGGCAUUACAAUUCUUCCCUCCUUAUAAAAUUUCGCCCUCGAAAUUUGACGUACCGAACAAUUCUGGAUAUUUGCUAUGCAACAUAUAAAUCAAACACAUAGGUAAAUAAGAAAAGAGUUAACCAAGCUUCCC
rnacentral:lncRNA from 1 species